UUUAUAGUAACAACUUCAUUGCAGGAAUGGAAGAUGGUUUGUCUUGUUGUAGCAGAUCAGCACCGACAGUGAGGUAUUUACAGAAUGAAUGACUGUAACAUGUGAUUUCUUGAUUAAUCUGGAAAAGUGCAAGUUCACAUUCUGGUUGGAUCAGAGUUGCUCAGGGAGAGACAGCAAUAUGGAACAUAGUGACAACAUGCUAGCACACAGACAGAAACAUUUUGGUUGACAGUUGAUUCAAGGUUAUACUGUGGGUAAGUUAGAUAUUUUGUUUUGAAUACAGGCUGAUUCGGACCAUGGCUGAUUCGGACCAAAUUUACUUUGCUUAUUUGGCCCAAAUUGUUUUAGUUUUCCUGACACUAUUGUCAUGAGUAAAAGUAAUACUUAUGAGUAUUAAGUUUAAUGUCUGAUGCAAAGAACAAUUAAAGUCCUUAUCUAAAUGCAUAAAUGAUGCAUUUUAGUUUGUCAAAACUUCUUACCUGUUUGUAUGGUGUAUAUUUUAUGUCCUUACUUCAAGUUAAAAAUCUAUAUAAGCUAUAAUCAACAUUAUUUUCUGAAAAUUGCUGAACCAUCCAAAAUUUAUGGUCAUUAUUGACUGUUAAAUAAAAGUUUGUGGUCUGAAUCAGCCGAAAUAUAUGGUCAUUAUCUACUUUUAUUCAAAGUAUGUGGUCCGAAUCAGCCAAAACAUUUGGUCCGAAUCAGCCAUGGUCCGAAUCAGCCACGGUCCGAAUCAGCCUGUUUCCUUUGUUUUUAUUACUGUUAACACA